UCCUCGAUGGUCUAGUGGUGAUGAUUUCCGCUUGUCAUUCAUUGAGAAGCGCGGGAGACCAGGGUUCGAUUCCCUGUCGGGGAG